GCUUACAAGACCCUAUAAGAUUAAUUUAACAUUCGAGGACGAAUGUUCUAAAGGGGGGGAGGAUGUUACAUCCCGUAUUUUUGAACGUCAGAUUAUUUGUAAGCUGAGGUGGGGCCCACACGUCAAGAUUUUUUUUUUAUUUUUUUUGGGACAUGUGACAAAUUAUAUGAAUCACAUAUGUGAAGUUAAACACAACUCAAGAAGGACCCUUGGGCCAAAUCAAAGUGGAAGUCCUCCAAACGAAUAUUUUUAAGAAAACGUUUUCGGGUGACCUGACUUUGGGGGGCAAAAACGGUAUUAUAUGUUUGGAAUUUGGAAAAAUACCAAGAAGUAGAAGUUGUAGAUAAUUGAAUUAUCUUUCCAACCAUAGGUCGUGGGUUCCCAGGUGACGUCGGUACAAGGAGAUAUGGACGUUUUAAGGUCGAAAGGUCAGUGGGCUAGGCCCAACUCGGGACCAACCGAGUUGGCCCAAAAAAAUGAAAAGAAAAAUUUAGGCCCAAGGUGAGAGGGUGGCCGGCCAUACCUGGUCCAAGCCCACCAAAUUAAUUAAUUUCCAUGUGGCAAAUUAAUUAUAAAGGGAUCAUUAUCCCUUAGAUGAUUCAAGAAACUUAGAAGGAGAAAGAACAAACAAAACAAGAGCAAAAAAAAGGGCCAUUUCGGGUUUGGCCAUAGAAAAUUCACCCCUCCAAAUCUUCCUCCAAAAAUUAUUUUCUUGUGGUAUUCCUACUAAUUUAAGGGUCCUUUACAACUUGGUGUAAUUGUUUUGGAAGAAGGAGCACUUAUUUCUUCAAGUUGACAACUUGUUCAAGUGAAGGAAUUGUAGAAAAAGAUUUUGGGCGAAACGGGAAUUGAAUUUGGAAAGGCGUAAAGAGCAUAUAAGGUACAGACGACAGGUUUGCUGAUCCGCACGUUUAGGAUCCCAUUUCUGCUAUUUUGGGGCGCUCUCUUCUACAGAGCCCAUCUUUUGGUACAGUCUGUCACUGCUAUCUAGAUAUGUACUUUGUUCAGGGUAUGACGGGGCCCUGUCCCGUCUUAUGAUUAUGAUAUGUUCUGUAGAGGUCUGUGGAUACAUCUGUGUGGGUUCUGUACAUAUGUUUGGGAUGUUUUGUUUUAUGAUAGCCUUAUCGGCUUCUGUGUGCCAAGUCUGCUCUUCGGCUAAAUUCUGUA